GAUCAUGGCUCAGGAUGAACGCUGGCGGCGUGCUUAACACAUGCAAGUCGAACGGGAAACCUAUUAUUGAAACUUCGGUCGAUUUAAUUUGUUUCUAGUGGCGGACGGGUGAGUAACGCGUGGGUAACCUGCCCUAUACAGGGGGAUAACAACCAGAAAUGGUUGCCAAUACCGCAUAAGCGCACAGGACCGCAUGGUCCGGUGUGAAAAACUCCGGUGGUAUAGGAUGGACCCGCGUUGGAUUAGCUAGUUGGCAGGG
rnacentral:rRNA from 1 species